UACGAAGGGUGCAAGCGUUAAUCGGAAUUACUGGGCGUAAAGCGUGCGUAGAUGGCCUGUUAAGUCGGAUGUGAAAGCCCCGGGCUCAACCUGGGAAUGGCAUCCGAUACUGGUGGGCUAGAGUGCGGUAGAGGAGAGCGGAAUUCCCGGUGUAGCGGUGAAAUGCGUAGAGAUCGGGAGGAACAUCCGUGGCGAAGGCGGCUCUCUGGACCAGCACUGACGUUGAGGCACGAAAGCGUGGGGAGCAAACAGGAUUAGAUACCCUGGUAGUCCACGCCCUAAACGAUGUCGACUGGAUGUUGGGCACACUUUGGUGCUCAGUAUCGAAGCUAACGCGUUAAGUCGACCGCCUGGGGAGUAUGCGCGCAAGCGUGAA
rnacentral:rRNA from 1 species